AAGUCGUAACAAGGUUUCCGUAGGUGAACCUGCGGAAGGAUCAUUACCGAGUGCGCACCCUUCCAGGUGCAACCUCCCACCCGUGUCUCUGAAUACCCUGUUGCUUUGGCGGGUCCACCGGGAAACCGGUCGCCGGGGGACUCCCCGUCCCUGGGCCCGCGCCCGCCGGAGCGCCUGAAGAACCCUUCUGAAGACGGACUGUCUGAGUGUCAUGGAGAAUAAUCAAAACUUUCAACAACGGAUCUCUUGGUUCCG
rnacentral:misc_RNA from 1 species